AAUUCAGAAAGGGUGGUUUAGGUAUCCAAAAAGAACCAGUAAAUCAAAUUAGAACACAUAAGGAAAGAGAGGGAGAACCUGACUCGCGGGAUUGAUUCGGCUUGUUUAGCGAACACGAUUACUGUGCUAAAACGUCUGGAGGGGCUCUUUUUGAGGGACCUACAGCAUAUUGAUUGUCUGCUGGAAUGAAAAACUAAGGGAGUUAUGUGCCGCCUCGUUAUAUUCCGUUGGGGCAGUCUGAUAUAGAAGCGGUAACUGCUACGCAAAAUGAAGAUCCUCCUGUUUCUGGUCAUAGGGGUGAUGGAACGACAAAGUGGUCGUCUGGAAUUUGCGCCUGUUGCGAUGAUAUGCAAAGCUGUACGCUACUUUCUGCCCUGUGACGUUGAUUUUUCAGAAGCGAUAAAUAUGAAGGUUGUAUAGGCCUUUUUUGUCCUUGCUUUUUGUUUGGAAAGAAUGCUGAAUUUCUAGGUUCUGGAACUUUAAUAGGAUCAUGCGCGACCCAUUGUAUUUUGUGGGCUAUUGUCAAUACUGUCUGCUGCAUGAUGACUGAUGGCAUUUUGCUGGGAUUACCCGGAUGCUUUGUUGCAUGUUAUGCAUGUGGCUACCGCAGGGCCCUUCGAGCAAAGUAUAAUCUAGAGGAAGAGCCCUGUGGCGAUUUGGUUACUCACUUUUGCUGUCAUUUGUGUGCAAUUUGUCAAGAGUAUAGAGAGAUAAGGGAAAGGUCCGGCGAUUCUAAUCAUCCUGAUCUUAAACUGCCUGUGGUAGCAGCUCCACCGGUCCAGAUAAUGGAGUAACAUGCUACGCAUACAACUUUUCGGUCUGUACCUUUAACUGGUAACAUUUUGAUUUUGUUUGAAAUGAUAACACGGUUUAUAUGGGAGUGGUCUGUAAUCUUGGCUAGAACUAACGGAUGGGGCUUGUUCUGUAGCUUACUUUUAUUAAAAAGAAAAAAAAAACUGAAAUAUGUGACAUUUAUAAUUGGAUAUUUCGCUACUAAAAAA